AGAGUUUGAUCAUGGCUCAGAAUCAACGCUGGCGGCGCGCCUAACACAUGCAAGUCGAACGAGAAAGCAGGAGCAAUCUUGUGAGUAAAGUGGCGUACGGGUGAGUAACACGUGGAUUAUCUACCCUCUUGUGGGGGAUAACUCUGGGAAACCGGAGCUAAUACCGCAUAAGCUCGAGAGAGGAAAGCAGUAAUGCGCAGGAGGAGGAGUCCGCGGCCGAUUAGCUAGUUGGUAGGGUAAAAGCCUACCAAGGCUGAGAUCGGUAGCCGGCCUGAGAGGGCACACGGCCACACUGGCACUGAAACACGGGCCAGACUCCUACGGGAGGCAGCAGUGGGGAAUCUUGCACAAUGGGGGAAACCCUGAUGCGGCGACGCCGCGUGAGCGAUGAAGCCCUUCGGGGUGUAAAGCUCUUUCGGCAGGGAAGAUUAUGACGGUACCUGCAGAAGCAGCUGCGGCUAACUACGUGCCAGCAGCCGCGGUA
rnacentral:rRNA from 1 species